UAGCGGCGGACGGGUGAGUAAUGCUUAGGAAUCUGCCUAUUAGUGGGGGACAACAUUCCGAAAGGAAUGCUAAUACCGCAUACGUCCUACGGGAGAAAGCAGGGGACCUUCGGGCCUUGCGCUAAUAGGUGAGCCUAAGUCGGAUUAGCUAGUUGGUGGGGUAAAGGCCUACCAAGGCGACGAUCUGUAGCGGGUCUGAGAGGAUGAUCCGCCACACUGGGACUGAGACACGGCCCAGACUCCUACGGGAGGCAGCAGUGGGGAAUAUUGGACAAUGGGGGGAACCCUGAUCCAGCCAUGCCGCGUGUGUGAAGAAGGCCUUUUGGUUGUAAAGCACUUUAAGCGAGGAGGAGGCUACUAGUAUUAAUACUACUGGAUAGUGGACGUUACUCGCAGAAUAAGCACCGGCUAACUCUGUGCCAGCAGCCGCGGUAAUACAGAGGGUGCGAGCGUUAAUCGGAUUUACUGGGCGUAAAGCGUGCGUAGGCGGCUGAUUAAGUCGGAUGUGAAAUCCCUGAGCUUAACUUAGGAAUUGCAUUCGAUACUGGUCAGCUAGAGUAUGGGAGAGGAUGGUAGAAUUCCAGGUGUAGCGGUGAAAUGCGUAGAGAUCUGGAGGAAUACCGAUGGCGAAGGCAGCCAUCUGGCCUAAUACUGACGCUGAGGUACGAAAGCAUGGGGAGCAAACAGGAUUAGAUACCCUGGUAGUCCAUGCCGUANACGAUGUCUACUAGCCGUUGGGGCCUUUGAGGCUUUAGUGGCGCAGCUAACGCGAUAAGUAGACCGCCUGGGGAGUACGGUCGCAAGACUAAAAC
rnacentral:rRNA from 1 species